GUGCGCAUGCGUGCUGAAGUACUUCCUUUCCAGUCCAGCAAGCAAGUCUAAGAGCGAAGAUUUGAAUUGGAAAUCGAACUAUUUCACUGCAAAGAAAACCAUCGACGUCCAUAAAGUUUCAGAAAUUGGAGACAGUGGAGGAACUACUCGACCUUGACGAGUUGAUAAAAACUCAACCAAGCAAGAAAGAUUUGCUGACAGCCAGGCUCUCAAAGAUUGGUGGAUAUGACUUAAAGAGCUGUUUAAGCACCAUCAUGGACAGGCUCAUGACAAAUGAAUUAAUGUCCAAUCUGAACAUGAAGGGGAGAGGGGGAAAAAAAUAGCUUUGCCGAGACGAAGCUGCUCGAUUUAGUCACAGCUAGUGUCUUGGAUACCCAGAAGGGGACCGAAACGAUGGUCCAUGAUCCCAUAAAAAAUAAACUGAAAUAUGCCCCUGGACGGAAGGGAGGAAUAGGAUGGGCAUCACAGGCUAAAUAAAUAAUUAUAUUGAU